AGAACUGCCAUUCGGAAAAGAGGCGACCUACUGCCCGUAGCCUUCAUCUCUCUCCUCCCGAGCAUCCCCGCCCCUCGGGAGGUGUCCCACCUUCUCCUCCACUCUGGCCAAAUGCAAAGGCAAAGCAGACCUCGGUUUUCCCCCCCGGGAUGCUCUCUCGACUCACUGACUUUUGCUGACUGUAUCCCUGGCCCCGGUUCCCAGCCGGAGCGGUACCCGGGCUCUGCUGCGCGCGGCGCUCCGGCUGCCCUGCACCGUCCUGGGGAGAUGCGGCGGGCACCAGCGAGCCCCCUGACCCGGCUGGGAGAGGAUCCAAUGCACAAAGUCACAGACCCGAAUGUCUGUCCAUUUAAAAAAAAAAAAAAAAAAAAAAGAAAGAAAAAACAGAAAACAGUCCCUCAAGAUUUGCAGAGCUUAUUAGGCAAGCAGAAGAGCUGUCAGUGUAGGAAUGGAGGCUCACAGGAGACAUGGUGGUGGUCCACUUGAAGAAUGGCUGCUGUUCAUACAUAUGUGGCCUACGACUCUCUUACUCGGUGUCAUCACGUGGAAAACGAGAGGGUUUUAAUAGAUGAUCUGUAUGCUGCUGAUAUCAUAAGAUACCAGAGUCUUGUUGAGCACCUAGUAUGUGUUCAACACUAUGCCAGUACUGAGCAAGAGGUGGACAGUGAAGACACCAGCACUGCCCUAGAGAAGCAGAGAAUCUAAUCUCAAGGAGAACCUAGACUGACCCCCACAACCCAUCUUUACCGAAACUCAUUGGCAUCAGUUAAGUUACAAACUAUGUUCUGCAGAAGAGGAAGGCUGAGACAAUAAAAUGGAAACAAAAGCAAAUGAGCUAUGAGUUCAACCAACAAUCAGUAAUACCAGCUGGGCUGCAUUCAAGGCUUUUGGGCCAGGUCCUUGCAAAAUGGAUUAUAGGAUAUAUACAUUUUGUCCUUGUACCAACCCUCUUAGAAAUUAUUAUUCUUUUUAAUAAAGAUUAUAUUUUUUUUUUUAUUUGAAAGGGAGAAUGAGUGAAACAGAGAGAGAGCAGAAGCAGGAGAGAGAGAGAGAGAGAGAGAGGAAGAAGUAAACUUCCCACUGAGCAGGGAGCCUGAUGCAGGGCUUGAUCCCAGGACUUGGGGAUCUUGACCUGAGCCAAACAUACACAGACACUUAAAC
rnacentral:lncRNA from 1 species